rnacentral:tRNA from 1 species
GGCUCCACAGUGUAGUGGUUAGCACGUCUGCUUUACACGCAGAAGGUCCUGGGCUCGCGCCCCAGGUGGAGCCA